AUUGAACGCUGGCGGCAGGCCUAACACAUGCAAGUCGAGCGAGCGGCGGACGUGUGAGUAAUGUCUGGGGAUGUGACCGAGAGAGGGGGAUAACUACUGGAAACUGUAGCUAAUACCGCAUACUAUCGGAUGAACCCAUAUGGGAUUAGCUAGUAGGUGGGGUAAAGGCGCACCUAGGCGACGAUCUCUAGAUGGUCUGAGAGGAUGAUCAGCCACACUGGGACUGAGACACGGUCCAGACUCCUACGGGAGGCAGCAGUGGGGAAUAUUGCACAAUGGGCGCAAGCCUGAUUCAGCCAUGCCGCGUGUAUGAAGAAGGCCUUCGGGUUGUAAAGUACUUUCAGCGAGGAGGCGUGACUCGCAGAAGAAGCACCGGCUAACUCCGUGCCAGCAGCCGCGGUAAUAC
rnacentral:rRNA from 1 species